UGCAUCGGCCGGGAAUCGAACCCGGGCCGCCCGCGUGGCAGGCGAGAAUUCUACCACUGAUCCACCGAUGC
rnacentral:tRNA from 1 species